ensembl:lncRNA
ACUGAUCUCUUCAAAUUGCUGAUUAAAAUGAGCAGGAAAUAGUACCAGAAAGGAAAUCUAAAUGAUUACUUUCUAAAAAUGAACACAAAUAGAUCCCUGAAAAAAUGGCUAGAAAAAGUAUAAAUCAAUAAAUGUUUAACAGUAGGUAAUCUAGAAACUAUUACGAAAAGGAAAAAAUCCUACAAAACACAACGACAGAACUAACAAUAAUAAAACUUAAUUAUAUUCUAAAUAUAAUAAAGAUUUUUGAUCACCAGAAACAUAACUGUCAUGAACUACAACUCUUCAUAUACUGCCUGGCUUAUGUUCCGUUUUGGUAGAAGCACAAAAGACCAACAAAAAACAAAACAAAAACCCUGCAAAAUUAACUAUUCAUUCAGCAUUUGCUUAAUUCAUUUAAUAAUGUAGACAUAAUAAUUUUUCAGUGUACCUGCUAGGUAUAGAUUUAUCAUACCACACUGCAAAACAGUCUUUUCCUAAAAGAAGAACCAUUUGGGAGGCCCACACUUGAGUUCCAAAUGCUGCGGUCUUGACUGCAGCCAGGGCUGUCUGAAAGCAGGAUCAGCUGGGACUGUUGUUACCAAAACAGGCAGAUGUGGUUCUCACAUCUCAACUAGACCUAGGAACAUCAUGCUCGGAAAGAUUAUUUACAAAUUUCUAAAAAAUUUGUCCUUCUAAUACCCUCAACCUUAGAGAGGAAAUAGGAUGAAAAACAUAUUUGGAUUUGGCAAUACUUUUACAAGUAGGGAACCCCAGAUCAUUUGGUAGACACGAUUCAUGCAAAUCUGUGAAGAUCCCAAUCAUCCUAGGAAUGGGCUUUCCUUUCUGUACAGUAUUGAAAGGUACAGGCCUCCUUCACCAUCUUUCAAAGUGGGAAGUAAACAACAAUACAAGAUGGAUAGAUAAAAAGAUACUGGGUAGUAAUAAAUCAAGUGUUCAUUUGUUUUGGAGUGCCCUCCACAUCUUUCCUUUCUCCUUUAAUUAUUUCUUUGACCAAUGCAUUCUGUCUAAAUCAAGUUGUUCAUACUCUGACACUUUGAGUCCAAUAGGAAGGCAAUGUAAAUAUUCUCUAUUAUUUUUCUUACAUAAAUUUGAGCACAUUUAAUGAAAGGUAAUUCUGAGGGAAGUAGACAAGAAUAGCCAUUGCUAAGACAGUAGGGGUAGAGAGAAACCAGGCAGAGAAAAUCAGCAUUAGAGGACCACAAAUAAGAUUAUUUGGAGGAGGUAAAUAAAUGUAUGAGAGGUGCUAUUUGCUCCCUGUAAGAAGAAGUGACUUUCUCUUGAAAUGUCCAGUAAUUUAACAGAUAUUUGAUUAAAUCACAAAUAUCACACAUAAAGGAGGAGUAGGGAAAAUACUAAACUCCUCACAGCAUGGGCUAGGACAUUUGUGUUACAUAUGGAAAAAUACUAAUCAAUUUAUAAACAAGUCUAGAGUAAAGGGCAAUGCAUUUAAGUGCUAUUAUCACUCCUUAAGCCUUUUCUUUCUUUUGAAUGUCUUAAGCAUCUAUUUAUACAAAAAUCAUUACUAAUUUUUAUAGUGCCUAGCAGAGUGGCUUACAUGUGAUAAUUCAAUAAAUAUUUGUUUUGUUAUAAGUAAUUUGUGCUUUGUUAUAAGUAAAGACAUGCUUUUAUGGAG